GUAAAUCCUAAGCGAGCCUGUGGUAGUGAGAGUCAGGUGAUUGAGAGAUGAGUGUGGCGCUUUUUGGUAUAUUUUUUAUAAAUAAUGAAGUAAUAAAUUAGGGUGGAACCGCGUUUCUGACG
rnacentral:sRNA from 19 species